ACGAGACACGUGAAACCUUGUGGGAAGCAGGGAGGACCACCUCCCAAGGCUAAAUACUACCUGAUGACCGAUAGUGAAGCAGUACCGUGAGGGAAAGGUGAAAAGAACCCCGGGAGGGGAGUGAAAUAGAACCUGAAACCGUGUGCCUACAACCGCUCAGAGCCCCUUAUGAGGGUGAUGAGGUGCUUUUUGUAGAACGAGCCAACGAGUUACGGUAUGUAGCAAGGUUAAGUACUUAAGGUACGGAGCCGAAGGGAAACCGAGUCUGAAUAGGGCGACUAGUUGCAUGCCGUAGACCCGAAACCGGGUGACCUAUCCAUGGCCAGGUUGAAGCGAGGGUAAAACCUCGUGGAGGACCGAACCACGUUGCUGUUGAAAAAGCAUGGGAUGAGCUGUGGAUAGCGGAGAAAUUCCAAUCGAACCCGGAGAUAGCUGGUUCUCUCCGAAAUAGCUUUAGGGCUAGCGUCGAGUAUGAGUAGUGGAGGUAGAGCACUGAAUGGGCUAGGGGGCAUAGCGCUUACCGAACCUUAUCAAACUCCGAAUGCCACAUACUUUGAGCUCGGCAGUCAGACUACGAAUGAUAAGAUCCGUGGUCAAAAGGGAAACAGCCCAGAUCGUCAGCUAAGGUCCCAAAGUGUAAGUUAAGUGGGAAAGGAUGUGAGAUUUCUAAGACAACUAGGAUGUUGGCUUAGAAGCAGCCAUUCAUUAAAAGAGUGCGUAAUAGCUCACUAGUCGAGAGAUCUUGCGCCGAAAAUGUAACGGGGCUAAACUUACCACCGAAGCUACGGGCUUGAACUUAGUUCAAGCGGUAGGAGAGCGUCGUAACCGGGCUGAAGUCGUACCGUAAGGAGCGGUGGACUGGUUACGAGUGAGAAUGUUGGCAUCAGUAGCGAGAUGUGGGUGAGAAUCCCACAGGCCGAAAACCUAAGGUUUCCUCAGGAAGGUUCGUCCGCUGAGGGUUAGUCGGGACCUAAGCCGAGGCCGAAAGGCGUAGGUGAUGGACAACUGGUUGAUAUUCCAGUACCACUACCAUCGUUAUUAUCGAUGGCGUGACGCAGGAGGAUAGUGUGUGCUAGCUAUUGGAUGCUAGUCUAAGCGUUUAGGCAGUGAGAGUAGGCAAAUCCGCUCUCAUAAUGCUGAGGCGUG
rnacentral:rRNA from 1 species